CUGGCGACGGUUUAGAGAAUCCAAAUGGAAAGGAGGGGAUUCCUGUACACUGCAUUGAACCGCAUCCCAUUGGAUACAAGGAUGUCAAGCCACGACAGGCGAAGAAGUUCUACAACUAUUUUUGCUGGAACAUUUUAUAGGAGCAUUACAACCGGGCCUGAAGCAAUGGGUUCAGGAUCGAUGAAAUGCUCACCCUACAGGACGCAGCACACCUGGCGGAUAAAUA